rnacentral:rRNA from 1 species
UACCCGCGGCAAGACGGAAAGACCCCGUGAACCUUUACUAUAGCUUGACACUGAACACUGGUCCUUGAUGUGUAGGAUAGGUGGGAGGCUUUGAAGCGUGGACGCCAGUCUGCGUGGAGCCGUCCUUGAAAUACCACCCUUUAAUGGCUGGUGUUCUAACGUGGACCCGUGAUCCGGGUUGCGGACAGUGUCUGGUGGGUAGUUUGACUGGGGCGGUCUCCUCCCAAAGAGUAACGGAGGAGCACG